rnacentral:rRNA from 1 species
UGGGGAAUUUUGGACAAUGGGCGAAAGCCUGAUCCAGCCAUGCCGCGUGCAGGAUGAAGGCCUUCGGGUUGUAAACUGCUUUUGUACGGAACGAAACGGCCUUUUCUAAUAAAGAGGGAUCAUGACGGUACCGUAAGAAUAAGCACCGGCUAACUACGUGCCAGCAGCCGCGGUAAUACGUAGGGUGCAAGCGUUAAUCGGAAUUACUGGGCGUAAAGCGUGCGCAGGCGGUUAUAUAAGACAGUUGUGAAAUCCCCGGGCUCAACCUGGGAACUGCAUCUGUGACUGUAUAGCUAGAGUACGGUAGAGGGGGAUGGAAUUCCGCGUGUAGCAGUGAAAUGCGUAGAUAUGCGGAGGAACACCGAUGGCGAAGGCAAUCCCCUGGACCUGUACUGACGCUCAUGCACGAAAGCGUGGGGAGCAAACA